rnacentral:rRNA from 1 species
GAGGGUUUGAUCCUGGCUCAGAUUGAACGCUGGCGGCAGGCCUAACACAUGCAAGUCGAGCGGAUGAAGGGAGCUUGCUCCUGGAUUCAGCGGCGGACGGGUGAGUAAUGCCUAGGAAUCUGCCUGGUAGUGGGGGAUAACGUCCGGAAACGGGCGCUAAUACCGCAUACGUCCUGAGGGAGAAAGUGGGGGAUCUUCGGACCUCACGCUAUCAGAUGAGCCUAGGUCGGAUUAGCUAGUUGGUGGGGUAAAGGCCUACCAAGGCGACGAUCCGUAACUGGUCUGAGAGGAUGAUCAGUCACACUGGAACUGAGACACGGUCCAGACUCCUACGGGAGGCAGCAGUGGGGAAUAUUGGACAAUGGGCGAAAGCCUGAUCCAGCCAUGCCGCGUGUGUGAAGAAGGUCUUCGGAUUGUAAAGCACUUUAAGUUGGGAGGAAGGGCAGUAAGUUAAUACCUUGCUGUUUUGACGUUACCAACAGAAUAAGCACCGGCUAACUUCGUGCCAGCAGCCGCGGUAAUACGAAGGGUGCAGCGUUAAUCGGA